CAAAAGACGGGAAAUUUUUCUGGAAAGGAAUGACCCGACCCAAUCCUACAAGAAAAAUAUUGAAGGGAAAGUGGGGUGAAGGGGGGGUGGACCGGCUUUUCCCAAAAAACGGAAAAGAGGAAGCUCGUAUAAAUUCUCCUUAUCGUUUUCUGUGCUUUCGCUUCGUUCCAAUUUCGCUCCAUGAGAACACCUUUUUACUUGGAAAAAAUUAAAGGGUUUCAAGCAAACUUUUGUCUUGAAUACUUCAACAUGAAAUAAUAGCGUAGGACUUUGGUUCUAUUUGGUUGGUGUAAAAACCUUAAUAAUGGUUAAUAGGAACGGUGGGGGGGAUCCUGUUUUAACUGGCCAAGCUGAAAUUUUGUAAUUUGGUAAAGACAAACUACUGCGAAAGCUCUUGCCACGGACGAUUUCCUUAAUUUUGAACAAACUGAAAAGACCAAAACAGAAA
rnacentral:rRNA from 1 species